rnacentral:lncRNA from 13 species
ACAUGCUGAUGCUGCCAAAUGUGUGUCACCAUGCAGAUCCCACCCCAGGCUCCAGCCCUGUGUGUGCAGCAGCCUCCUGGAUGCCCCUCGGCUGUCUAACGGACAUCUCAAAUCUACAUGCCUCCACUUGAAAAGGAUGUGCCUGGGGGACUGUGGAAAAUGUGCAAGUGUGCAAACCUAAAGCUAUCUGAAGAAAGCUCACCUCGUGCCCCCUGAUCUGCAAGUCGCUCCACAGACAACUUCCCAGGAUUAGAGGAUGCCUUGUUCUCUUUGGCCACAGACUCCACUCAGCAGGAAGAGGAGGGAUCAAAUUCAGCCACGUGGACUCCAGGGAAGUCCAUCCACAGCCCUGCCAUGUAGGAAGGUGACCCCAGGACACAGUCAGGCUAAAACCUGUACCAUGAUGGACCCUGUCACACUCUUGCCGGCACCUGUGGAGCCACCACCUGGAACAAGUUCAGGAACAUUUCCGCACCCAAGGAGGCAAGCCACACCCACCCAAGGUGACCAAUCCCAGCCUGUGUCAGCUCGGGAAUGUCACAUAAAUGGAAUCCCGCGGAAGAGGGAAUGCUCCUUCUGUUUACCAUCUCCUCGACCAGCUUCACCUACACUGUUGCGGGAGGCAGUGACUUCUUGUUUUUAUGGCUGUGUAGUACCCAAGCCCAGGGGCCACCGCGGCAUUUCACUGGGGACAGAAACGAUUUUCAACGCAUUGUGCUGGGACUAUGGGAUGGCUGCAAGGACCUCGGCCCUCAACUUCAUCUGAAUACAAAAAUGGCUCAGGAUGGAUGCCAGGCUUGGGUGUGGAGUGUGGAGACAGUCUGCAUGGCCUUGUGACACAAGCAUUUCUUCAACAGGACACAAAGAUCCCUCACUGGGAAAGAAGAAAUUGAUAUGUUGAACUUCAUUAAAAUUAACAACUUCUCUCCAUCAAAAGACGCCCUUCAGAAAGCGAAAGGGCAAGCCUCAGGCUGGGAUUUCCUCUGAGCCGAUCUUGGCUCCUCUCUCCCCAAUGAUUUACUAAGUACUUCAGUGUGCACUCUUUUCCCUCUUCUUUUUCUCCUGACAUUCAGGAGACCCAAAUGAUUUACCUACAGGGUCUCAGGCUGGGCAUGGUGGCUCAUAACUAUAAUUCCAAGAACUUUGGGAGGUUGAGCUGAGAGGAUUGCUUGAGUCCAGGAAUUCAAGACCAGCCUGGGAAACAUGGCAAAACUCUGUCUCUACCAAAAAAAAUACAAAAAUUAGCCGGAUGUGGUGGCAUGCCUGUAGUCCCCACAAUUCCAGAGGCUGAGGUGGGAGGAUCAUCUGAUACCAGGAGGUUGAGGCUGCAGUGAGCUAUUAUUGCACUAGUGCGUCCAGCCUGGGCAACAGAGUGAGACCUUGUCUCAAAAAACAAACACACACGCUCACGCGCGCACACACACACACACACACACACACACGAAACAAACAGCAACAACAAAACAAACAAAAAAAUAAAACAAAAAGCCCUGUAGGGUCUUAUUCCUGA